rnacentral:sRNA from 1 species
ACCGGACAGAUGAACAGUUUCUGCUGCAGCGGCUGGCAGACGGGGCCAUCGACCUCUAUGCCAUGGUGGUGGUUCUCUCGAGGUGAGGAGGCAGGCAGGGAAUGCCUGAGCCGCAGGGGGCCUGGGCCUGGAUCCCAGCCGGCCCAGAUUUAUUUUCAUCUCCUGCUUCCUGCCAGGGCCUCAAGAUCCCUGAGUGAGGGCCACCCCACGGCCCAGCAUGAGAAAAUGCUCUGUGACACCUGGUGUAUCGAGGUGAGACUCGGGGCUGCCAAGCUCAGGUGAGGGCUAGAGGUGCAGGCCCAACCCCUCCUUCCCUCUCCCCAGGCUGCAGCUCGGAUCCGAGAGGGCAUGGCCGCCCUGCAGUCUGACCCCUGGCAGCAAGAGCUCUACCGCAACUUCAAAAGCAUCUCCAAGGCCUUGGUGGAGCGGGGUGGUGUGGUCACCAGCAACCCACUUGGCUUCUGAAUACUCCCGGCCAGGGCCUGUCCCAGUUAUGUGCCUUCCCUCAAGCCAAAGCCGAAGCCCCUUUCCUUAAGGCCCUGGUUUGUCCCGAAGGGGCCUAGUGUUCCCAGCACUGUGCCUGCUCUCAAGAGCACUUACUGCCUCGCAAAUAAUAAAAAUUUCUAACCAGUCA